rnacentral:rRNA from 1 species
UGCUAUACAUGCAGUCGAGCGGAUGGAUUAAGAGCUUGCUCUUAUGAAGUUAGCGGCGGACGGGUGAGUAACACGUGGGUAACCUNCCCAUAAGACUGGGAUAACUCCGGGAAACCGGGGCUAAUACCGGAUAAUAUUUUGAACUGCAUGNUUCGAAAUUGAAAGGCGGCUUCGGCUGUCACUUAUGGAUGGACCCGCGUCGCAUUAGCUAGUUGGUGAGGUAACGGCUCACCAAGGCGACGAUGCGUAGCCGACCUGAGAGGGUGAUCGGCCACACUGGGACUGAGACACGGCCCAGACUCCUACGGGAGGCAGCAGUAGGGAAUCUUCCGCAAUGGACGAAAGUCUGACGGAGCAACGCCGCGUGAGUGAUGAAGGCUUUCGGGUCGUAAAACUCUGUUGUUAGGGAAGAACAAGUGCUAGUUGAAUAAGCUGGCACCUUGACGGUACCUAACCAGAAAGCCACGGCUAACUACGUGCCAGCAGCCGCGGUAAUACGUAGGUGGCAAGCGUUAUCCGGAAUUAUUGGGCGUAAAGCGCGCGCAGUUGGUUUCUUAAGUCUGAUGUGAAAGCCCACGGCUCAACCGUGGAGGGUCAUUGGAAACUGGGAGACUUGAGUGCAGAAGAGGAAAGUGGAAUUCCAUGUGUAGCG